GAUUCCCUUAGUAACGGCGAGCGAACAGGGAACAGCCCAGCGCCAAGUCCUGACACUUGACGUGUUCAGGAGAUGCGGCGUUCAAGUAUUGAUGCAUCGCACACUGUCUUGAGCUUCAAGUUCCUUUGACAGGGACACCCAGAGUGGGUGCUAGGCCCAUAGAGGUUCAGAGACUGGUGUGCGCAAAUCAAUGCUUUUUAGAGUCAGGUUGCUUGAGAGUGCAGCCUAAAGCAGGUGGUAAACUCCAUCUAAGGCUAAAUAUUACAGCGAGACCGAUAGCAAACAAGUACCGUGAGGGAAAGUUGCAAAGAACUUUGAAGAGAGAGUUCAAAAGGACGUGAAACCACUGGGAGGCAAACGGGUGGAACCACGAAGUGUGCCCUCAAGUCGAUUCAAUCAUCGUUGCCAGUUGACAAUUUGUUUGUAUCAUAAUAGUUUUUUCGGAAACUAAUACAAAUAAUUGGUUGCAUUAUAAUUGGUGACGGUGAUGCAUUUCGAAUAUUGAGGUGCUUAAGCCACGUCUAACUAGGUGGUUGGGACGGCCGUAGUGAUGGAUUCUUGGAAGGUGGCCGUCAGAUUUUUCUUUCACGAGAUUGAUCUGGCGGUGUUAUAGACUUGAAUCUCUUCGAUUGCCGUCGCCUAACGUGCUAGUUGGUAAAAGUUCUCCAUGUUGGAGUGUUGCCAGUAGUGAUUAUGUGCGCUGUUUAUUGCCAAAGCAAGGCCGUUUUCAGRAUGCGCUUUACGUUAUCUUUGGAUUCGAAAAGACAUUUUGACGUGCUCUGUUUUCGGUAGUAUCUGCGUGAUUCAUGAUUGUGCAAACAGUGGUGCGAGUAGGUCGGUCUCCACCCGACCCGUCUUGAAACACGGACCAAGGAGCCUAACAUAUACGCAAGUCGCUCGGUCUUGAAUAGGCCCGGGAGGCGUAAUGAAAGUAAAGCUACGAAAUUGAAAAUUUGCAAAAGUUUUCGGUUGCAGUAGCAGCCCGCCUGUUUCGUUUAUUGGCGAUAUGGCGGAGCUGGAGCGUAUACGUUGGUACCCGAAAGAUGGUGAACUAUGCCUGGGCAGGAUGAAGCCAGAGGAAACUCUGGUGGAGGUCUGUAGCGAUUCUGACGUGCAAAUCGAUCGUCAGACCUGGGUAUAGGGGCGAAAGACUAAUCGAACCAUCUAGUAGCUGGUUCCCUCCGAAGUUUCCCUCAGGAUAGCAGGCGCUUGUUGUAAUCAGUCUCAUCCGGUAAAGCUAAUGAUUAGAGGUCUUGGGGCCGAAACGGCCUCAACCUAUUCUCAAACUUUAAAUGGGUGAGAUGCCUGACUUGCUUAAUUGAAGCCAGGCAGUUGGAUGUAGGUGCCUAGUGGGCCAGCUUUGGUAAGCAGAACUGGCGCUGUGGGAUGAACCAAACGUCGAGUUAAGGCAUCUAAUGCAUACGCUCAUCAGACCCCAUGAAAGGUGUUGGUUGCUAUAGACAGCAGGACGGUGGCCAUGGAAGUCGGAAUCC
rnacentral:rRNA from 1 species